rnacentral:tRNA from 1 species
UCCCUGAUGUCUCAGAGGGUACAGAAUCCACCUACAAUGUGGGAGACCUGGGUUCGAUCCCUGGGUUGGGAA